GAUUAGCUAUUUGGGCUCUCUACUGUGUUCAUGAAACUGGUCACUCAGUCUAGAAAAUCAUGUGACACUGAUGACUGCAAACAUGUCCAAAGUUGGAAUAGGUUCACUCCCUGAAAGAUAUAUUAUCAGGAAGUAUGUGACACCAGUAUUUGACACAUCCAGGGGAGAGGAAUCUAUCAUCUGAGCCAAGAUGUUAAUUAUAAAGAACAUGAAAGGAUGUUAAAAUUGGCUUGAGAACAAAAAGAACUAUGAUCAUUUCACCUGUCUUAUAAAGAACAAUGGCCUUCAUAAAUGCCACUCUUAAACCAAUGUGUAUCAUUUCAUUGGAAUUUCUAAGCUCUAUGUCUGAAACUGCAGAGGUUACUUCUGUAGGAAGAAUUGAAGAAUUGCCAGGGAACUCAGGAAGUAAUUCAACAAGCAGUGAAGAAAUUUCCCUUUCAAGAUUUUAACAAAGAACAUGCUGAGGUCACCGCACAGUGACAGAUUUGUGGUAUUGGCUGUUCAACAGUCAUCCCAGGAAAUAAAUAUUUUAUCAUACAAAGA